rnacentral:lncRNA from 1 species
UAAGGUUAAAAGGUAGGACUGGAGCAGGUCUUUAAGGAAAUAGGAGCAGAAAAAUAUACAGCUGUACUGUCUACCUGAAAACUGAUCUGGCAGUAUGAUACAGUAGUCAGUGAACUGCCAACCACCUGUUGAUACUUGACAUCUUGCCAGAGCAUUGUGUGUCCAGGGUGCUGGCCUACCAGAGGAAAAAAUCUUGAGAUGAACCAUGAUGUUGACAGGAGACCAAGGAGGACUCUGAAGAACUCAAGGAACACUGAUCCUAAAUCUCAAAGCAUCAACACUCCAGCCAGGGUUUAUGAAGAGAAUCGCCUGUGGAUGAGGAAGAAGUUUUAAAGUAAUAAACUAAGAUAGACACCAUCACACAAAACAACCUAGAAUUUGUGAUUUUUGUUUUAAAUUAAGGGACAACUGCUAAUAGUUCAAGAUUUGUUAGAAAGUGUUUGUGGUGCUUAUUCAUGCUCAUAUCUGUAUUCUAUAUGUAUGCUUGGAGGAAAUGAGUUCAUUUAGAAGAAUGGAAUAAAUUUCAUAUCUAGGUGCAUUUGACAUGGCAACAUGUUUUUACCCUGAAAAAAUAAGAGGUUUCUGGGACUAGUGAACUGGUUACUGUAAAAUCAUUUAAUUUCAUGGGCAUGACUUUUCCUUGUUUUGGUCUGAACGGCAAUAUCAUGGGGAUAUGAAUUCGUGGACUUCAAAUUUUGAACAUAAAAUGAAUGGGAAUUUUACUUGUUCAUUGGGAUUAAAGUUCAAGGAUUGACCCAACAAUGAAAUCCACGAAAAUUAGUCCCCCACAAAUAUUAAUAAUUAUAAUAUAAUUUAUUAUGCCCCCCUUCAAAGAGGAUGGGACAUAUUGUUUUGCUCAUUGUCUGACUGUCUGGCUGUGCGUUAGUAGGUCUAUUGGUAUAGUGUUUGGUUUCUGGUCAACAACUAGAGAAUGCUUGGUCUCACAAUGAUUUAACUUUACAGGAUGAUGGCCUGUAAGCAGUAGAUGACUCCCAUUGUUUUGGGGUUCAGUAGGUCAAAGUGAUCUUGAGACUUUAAAGUUUCUGCUCUAUAAUGAAAGAAUACUUUGGCCGUCAGUCUUUGCAGGAAAUAUCCUGUAGCCAGUAGAUGACUACUCAUAUUUUUGGGUCAUUUGCCAGAGGUUAAAGGUCAAGGUCAUAGCUACCCGCUUGACUCCAACAUG